GAUUAGAUAGUUUGCGCAGUCUGGGCAGUAUCGUCCACAUUCAGAAUAGGCCUCAUUCUAUUAAACAUUUCCUUUUUCAUAGCUUCUUCAUUUCUUUCUUCCUCUCUUGGUUACCUUUGUGGUUUGGUAAUUUUCUGUGUUGGUAGAAUUGUCUUCUCUUAUUUAAAUAUUAUUUGCAUCUGGUCUACUGUGUUCUACUGUGUUGUAAGUUUUGUGUUUGUUUUAUGUAUUGUGUUCAGUGUCCCUUUAGUGGAGAAUCUAAAGCAGGACCAUUUCGGUGCUGACAAAUCCUGUAGUCUGUUUUACCUCAGAAAGGAUUUCUUUUUUUCUCAUGGAAGGUUUGAUGGCUAGCUUUGUCUUGAUUAAUAGGUUUUUGAAUCAGAAAAUCAUCGGGGCCUAUUUUAAUAAAAUAUAUUCUAAAUUAGAAAACUAAAAGAAAGGGACUUCUAGACUCAUACCCAUGACCUUAGUUCUGUUGUGAAGAAACACAGGCCACUUUAUAAAAGGAAGUGUUCUGUCGGGGCUUACAGUUCCAGAGGGUUCAAUGCUCAUCCUGCUAGGAAGCACAGUGGUGCCCAGGCAGUCAUGGCAGUAGACAAGUAGCCAAAAGCUUAUAUCCUGAGAUGCGGGUAGGAAGCAGAGAGACUCAGCCUGGUAUGGGUGGGCUUUUGAAACCUCAGAGCCAACCUCCAAUAACAUACCUCUCCUCCAACAAGGCCAUACAUCCCUCCUUAUCCCUUCCAAACAGUCCUGCUGAGGACCUAAUGUGAGCCUAUGGGAUCUAGUCUCAUUCAAACCACCAUACCUACCCAAAUUAAACCAAGAUGAGAUGAACAACUAAAUAUAUAACAAGAAUAGAACUGAAGAAAUAAUAAAGUAUUGCUUAACAGUUGUCGACUGCAUUUUGCUCUUUCCCAGUUCUCAAGAUUGUGCAGUGCAACUACUCUCUGUCUAACACUCAGCAUCCAAGUCAUCAGUCCUCUCUCCAUAGCCAACAGUAGCCUACUGAUUAGAAGCUAUUAAUAUUAGCAUAAAGAGCUUUGGGGGUGAGAUCGAUAACUAGAGCUUUUUGGCUGAGGUAAUAUGCUCUCGAGUUCAUAUUCAGGACGACUGCUAGUCUCAAGCUGCAUCUUUACGUUACUUAUGGACUACCUAUAACUACUUACAUAAUAUCUGGAAUCAUUCCAUGACCAGAUGGAAUCACUGCUGAAUCUCACCAAAUCUUUAAAGAACUAAUACCAGUGCUUCUUAAAUUAUUCUAUAAAAUCAAAAGGAUGAAAUGUUGCCAAACCAUCAUAUCAAAUCCUGUGAAAGACUCCCACAUACUCUCAAGAAAACAGAAAAUUAUAGCUCAAUCUUCUCGUAUACAGAAACUUGACUCGGGUAUUCCUAUAAAACAUAAAAAGUUAAUAGUGGAUGGUAGAACAGGCCCCGCAGUGGUUCCCAGAUUGUGCAAGUUGAGUUUGCUCUUUGCUAAUUUCCAGGGUUCUUGUAGUGCUGCUGAUGGUUCCUGACUAUUCAGCACGGCAGCCAUCCUUCUUCAUUAUCUCAACUUUGAACACUAACUUACUGUGUUCAAAACUUAAUGAAAAGCUAUUGGUAUUGGCAUAUAUACUUCUUUGGCUAAGGUAAAAUGUGUCUCUUAGUUAUGUCCAUAUUCAGAAGUCCUGCUUGAAAAGCUAGGAGAUGUUUUAAUAGAUUUACUUGGUGUAUGUUGUGUCUGCCCCUGAAUCUGAAGAUUUCCCUAGAGAACAUGGCUGUUAAAUCCUGGAAGACACGCGUUUGACAAGGGGCAGUGCUGGUUUCUCUGUGGUAUACUCAUAUUUGUCUUCUGGAAUCUAAAAGUUAUUGAUCAUAUUCAUAAGACAGAUGGCUAGAUGCUGAUCAGGUGUAUAUGUAUGUGCAUUGAAUCACCCCAUUUGUACCUGCUGUGACAGGUCAAAUGGCUUCCCCAGACCUUUUCUUCCCAACAACACAGUGGAUCUAUUGAGUUGCAUGUAAAUAUCCUAACAAUUGGAAACUAUUCUGAUGUUGUAACAUGAUUUUUUUAAUCUAGGUGAACAAAGACUUUGGCUCUAUUUUUUCUACCCUUUUGCCUGGUGCCAAUGCUAUGCUUGCACCACCAGAAGGGCAGACAGUUUUAGAUGGUCUGGAGUUCAAGGUUGCCUUAGGAAAUACGUGGAAAGAAAACCUAACUGAGCUUAGUGGUGGUCAGAGGUACGUAAUCCCCUUACAACUUACAGUUUCUCAUGGUUAUUAUAUUUCAUCAUUUUAUUUACUCUGUAAUUCUGUUUCAGUUUUAGUUUGGUUGGCUGCCUAGGAGGAAUUUCUGAAGCCCAAUUAUGGGACUACAGAUUUGGUUAAAAUAUUUGUUUAAAUUGGCAGACAGUAACUACCAUAGCUAAGAGUUGAAUGUAGUUGAAUGUUUACAAACAAAAAAACCAAGCCAGAUAACUAAACAAAAUCUAGGAAAAACAACUUGUUAAUCAUUUAAAAUCAAGCAAGCCAUGUAGGGCCCUGAGUACCUGAAAGGAAAAAUGGAAAUGUCAGGCCUGUGUGUAGCCAGGUUUCUCUCUCUUAACAGUUAUGAAGGGUUAACCACUAGAAUGUAAUAGCCUCACUGCAUGAAGGACACAUGGACUGUAGUUUGAGGACAGAGCAGAGAAGUUAACGUUAGGUCUGCAUGUUCCUAAAGUGAACGCUGUUUUAGACAAACUGAACAGUGGGCCUGACAUCAGUUUUAUGCCAAAAAAAUACUACCUCCUUUAAAAAGAUAACAAAAUAUACAACUAAAACUAGUGUACAAUUAAUAAGAAUUGCAAGACACUGGGUGGGAUGGUUGAUUUCUGUAUUCUCAGAACUCCAAGGGCCAAGGAAAAAAGACUGCCACAAAUUUGAGUCUCUCUUGGUAUACAACUCUGAGCUCAGUCUGGGUUAUACAACAAAACCGACUUUAAAAUAGUAAUAUUCAUAAGUUUGCAAGAGACAACUUGAAGUGUUGACCUAGAGAAGAAUUAUUCUUUAAAGGAAACUGACCCAGUGAGAUUAAUAAGUGUGAAAUUUAGAGUAACUAUUUUUUAAGAAUUAUAUUUAAAAAAUGCUAACAAAUAGAUAAAAACCCUUUAAAAAAUAAUGAAGUGAGAGUGUAGAGAUAAAACAUAAGUAAAAUACAAAGUUCACAAGAUUUUAAUGAAAUGAAGAAUUAACUUGUUAGACCAGUCAUAUCUCUACUAAACUGAGGAAGAGGGAAAAAAAAAAAAAACCUUUGACACAUGAAAUUAGUGUUCCAAAAUUAGAGGAAAACAGGAGAGAGAACUACUUAAAAGAAAUAAUGGCAUCAGAUCUCCCACAUAGGAUGAAUUCUGUAGACACAAGCAUUUGAGCUAUUGGCAAGAUAAGCUCAGAGACACACACAGCAGGACUUACAAGAUUACUGGAAAACCAUGUGUAUAUUAGAAAAAUGUCAGAGGCAGCCAGC
rnacentral:lncRNA from 1 species